rnacentral:rRNA from 1 species
UACGGGGGGGGCAAGCGUUGUUCGGAAUUACUGGGCGUAAAGGGCUCGUAGGCGGCCAACUAAGUCAGACGUGAAAUCCCUCGGCUUAACCGGGGAACUGCGUCUGAUACUGGAUGGCUUGAAUCCGGGAGAGGGAUGCGGAAUUCCAGGUGUAGCGGUGAAAUGCGUAGAUAUCGCUUGGAACGCCGACGGUGAAAACAGUCUGCUGGGGGUGUGCUGACGCUGAGACACGAAAGCCAGGGGAGCGAACGGG